UACGUAGGGACCGAGCGUUGUCCGGAAUCAUUGGGCGUAAAGAGCGUGUAGGCGGCCACUUAAGUCCUGCGUGAAAUCUUGCGGCUCAACCGCAAGCGGUCGUGGGAAACUGGGUGGCUAGAGUGCGGGAGAGGAGAGUGGAAUUCCUGGUGUAGCGGUGGAAUGCGCAGAUAUCAGGAGGAACACCAGUGGCGAAGGCGGUGGUCUGGGCCGGAACUGACGCUGUAGAGCGAAAGCGUGGGGAGCGAACAGG
rnacentral:rRNA from 1 species